CUGUAUUCAACUCUCAAUAAAUCCUCCUGUUUUAUGCUGGCUGAGAGUCACUCCGCUCUAGAGAAUAGGGGGCAUCAACCCCUUUGGGGGUGAGGCGGCCCAGGGGUUCCAGAGCACGUGGACUCCCUGAGGGGGCCCACGGCGAGAAACAGACGUGCUACGAUUCAG